rnacentral:lncRNA from 1 species
GUCUGUUGAAAUGCCAAAAAUGACCCACCAAUGGAAGCAGCUGGCUUCACUGCUCAAGUGAUUAUCCUGAACCAUUCAGGCCAAAUCAGGUACUGGAUUGUCACACAGCUUACACAGCUUGCAAGUUUGCUGACCUGAAGGAAAAAGAUUGAUCACCAUUCUAGUAAGAAGCUGGAAGAUGGCCCUAAAUUCUUGAAGUCUGGUGGUGCUGCCAUAGUUGAUAUGGUUCCUGACAAGCCGAUGUAUGUUGAGAGCUUCUAGGACUAUCCUCCUCUGGGUCAUUUUGCUGCUCGUGAUAUGAAACAGAGUUGCCGUGGGUGUCAUCAAAGCAGUGGACAAGAAGGCUGCUGGAGCUGGCAAGGUCACCAAGUCUGCCCAGAAAGCUCAGAAGGCUAAAUGAAUAUUAUCCCUAAUACCUGCCACCUGAGU